rnacentral:ribozyme from 1 species
AAUCAAAAAAUGAUGAGGAAACCCGGCUUAUGAUUUGUUCAUUUCAAGUAUUCAUUUUCUUUUUUUUUUGGUAAUAUUUGUAACAUAUACUGUCUCAUGUAGAAGAAGGGGAGG